UUUUAAAUGGCCGCAGUAUUUUGACUGUGCAAAGGUAGCAUAAUCAUUAGUUUUUUAAUUAAAAGCUUGUAUGAAAGGCUGGACGAGGUAAAAUCUGUCUCUAUUUAAAUUAAAAUAGAAUUUAACUUUUAAGUUAAAAGGCUUAAAUAUUAUUAAAAGACGAGAAGACCCUAUAGAUCUUUAUAAUUUAUUAAAUUAAAUUAAUUUAGAAAUAUUAAUGUUUUAUUUGAUUAAAUUAUUUUAUUGGGGUAAUAAAAAGAUUGAAUUAAUUCUUUUUUGUAAUAAACAUUAAUUUAUGAAUAUUAAUGAUCCAGUUUUACUGAUUAUAAGAUUAAGUUACCUUAGGGAUAACAGCGUAAUUUUUUUAGAGAGUUCAUAUCGAUAAAAAAGUUUGCGACCUCGAUGUUGGAUUAAAGAUUAUUUUAGGUGUAGAAGCUUAAUAAUUUUGGUCUGUUCGACCAUUAAAUCUUUACAUGAUCUGAGUUCAGACCGGCGUAAGCCAGGUCGGUUUCUAUCUUUAAUAAAAUAAAAUAUUUUAGUACGAAAGGACCAAAUAUUUGAUAUAUUUAUAUUUAAUUUAUUGAAUAUUA
rnacentral:rRNA from 1 species